GGCGGGUCUCUGGGCAGUAACUGACGCUGAGGAGCGAAAGCGUGGGGAGCGAACAGGAUUAGAUACCCUGGUAGUCCACGCCGUAAACGGUGGGUACUAGGUGUGGGUUUCCUUCCUUGGGAUCCGUUCCGUAGCUAACGCAUUAAGUACCCCGCCUGGGGAGUACGGCCGCAAGGCUAAAACUCAAAGAAAUUGACGGGGGCCCGCACAAGCGGCGGAGCAUGUGGAUUAAUUCGAUGCAACGCGAAGAACCUU
rnacentral:rRNA from 1 species